rnacentral:rRNA from 1 species
UACGUAGGGUGCAAGCGUUAAUCGGAAUUACUGGGCGUAAAGCGUGCGCAGGCGGUUGUGCAAGACCGAUGUGAAAUCCCCGGGCUUAACCUGGGAAUGGCAUUGGUGACUGCACGGCUAGAGUGUGUCAGAGGGGGGUAGAAUUCCACGUGUAGCAGUGAAAUGCGUAGAGAUGUGGAGGAACACCGAUGGCGAAGGCAGCCCCCUGGGGUAACACUGACGCUCAUGCACGGAAGCGUGGGGAGCAAACAGG